rnacentral:rRNA from 1 species
CGAGCUGAUCCCCUUCGGGGGUGACGCUCGUGGAAUGAGCGGCGGACGGGUGAGUAACACGUGGGCAACCUGCCUGUAAGAUCGGAAUAACUCCGGGAAACCGGGGCUAAUGCCGGGUAAUCCUUUUUCUCGCAUGAGAGAAGGGUAAAAGAUGGCUUCUCGCUAUCACUUACAGAUGGGCCCGCGGCGCAUUAGCUAGUUGGUGAGGUAACGGYUCACCAAGGSAACGAUGCGUAGCCGACCUGAGAGGGUGAUCGGCCACACUGGGACUGAGACACGGCCCAGAYUCCUACGGGAGGCAGCAGUAGGGAAUCUUCCGCAAUGGACGAAAGUCUGACGGAGCAACGCCGCGUGAACGAUGAAGGUCUUCGGAUCGUAAAGUUCUGUUGUUAGGGAAGAACAAGUACCGUUCGAACAGGGCGGUACCUUGACGGUACCUAACGAGGAAGCCCCGGCUAACUACGUGCCAGCAGCCGCGGUAAUACGUAGGGGGCAAGCGUUGUCCGGAAUUAUUGGGCGUAAAGCGCGCGCAGGCGGUUCCUUAAGUCUGAUGUGAAAGCCCACGGCUCAACCGUGGAGGGUCAUUGGAAACUGGGGAACUUGAGGACAGAAGAGGAGAGUGGAAUUCCACGUGUAGCGGUGAAAUGCGUAGAUAUGUGGAGGAACACCAGUGGCGAAGGCGACUCUCUGGUCUGUUUCUGACGCUGAGGUGCGAAAGCGUGGGUAGCAAACAGGAUUAGAUACCCUGGUAGUCCACGCCGUAAACGAUGAGUGCUAGGUGUUAGGGGGCUUCCACCCCUUAGUGCUGAAGUUAACGCAUUAAGCACUCCGCCUGGGGAGUACGGCCGCAAGGCUGAAACUCAAAGGAAUUGACGGGGGCCCGCACAAGCGGUGGAGCAUGUGGUUUAAUUCGAAGCAACGCGAAGAACCUUACCAGGUCUUGACAUCCUUGGAUCGCCCUAGAGAUAGGGUUUUCCCUUCGGGGACCAAGUGACAGGUGGUGCAUGGUUGUCGUCAGCUCGUGUCGUGAGAUGUUGGGUUAAGUCCCGCAACGAGCGCAACCCCUAAUCUUAGUUGCCAGCAUUCAGUUGGGCACUCUAAGGUGACUGCCGGUGACAAACCGGAGGAAGGCGGGGAUGACGUCAAAUCAUCAUGCCCCUUAUGACCUGGGCUACACACGUGCUACAAUGGAUGGUACAAAGGGCAGCGAAGCC